UUGACCUCAAAUCAGGUAGGACUACCCGCUGAACUUAAGCAUAUCAAUAAGCGGAGGAAAAGAAACUAACAAGGAUUCCCCUAGUAACUGCGAGUGAAGCGGGAAAAGCUCAAAUUUAAAAUCUGGCGGUCUUUGGCCGUCCGAGUUGUAAUCUAGAGAAGUGUUAUCCGCGCUGGACCGUGUACAAGUCUCCUGGAAUGGAGCGUCAUAGAGGGUGAGAAUCCCGUCUUUGACACGGACUGCCAGGGCUUUGUGAUGCGCUCUCAAAGAGUCGAGUUGUUUGGGAAUGCAGCUCAAAAUGGGUGGUAAAUUCCAUCUAAAGCUAAAUAUUGGCGAGAGACCGAUAGCGAACAAGUACCGUGAGGGAAAGAUGAAAAGAACUUUGGAAAGAGAGUUAAACAGUACGUGAAAUUGCUGAAAGGGAAACGCUUGAAGUCAGUCGCAUUGUGUGGGAAUCAACCUUGCUUUUGCUGGGCGUACUUUCCAUAUGAUGGGUCAGCAUCAAUUUUGACCGUUGGAUAAAGUUCAAGGGAAUGUGGCAUCUUCGGAUGUGUUAUAGCCUUUGGUCGCAUACAACGAUUGGGAUUGAGGAACUCAGCACGCCGAAAGGCCGGGUCUUGUACCACGUUCGUGCUUAGGAUGCUGGCAUAAUGGCUUUAAUCGACCCGUC
rnacentral:rRNA from 2 species